AGGGCACCACCAGGAGUGGAGCCUGCGGCUUAAUUUGACUCAACACGGGAAAACUUACCCGGCCCGGACACUGGAAGGAUUGACAGAUUGAGAGCUCUUUCUUGAUUCAGUGGGUGGUGGUGCAUGGCCGUUCUUAGUUGGUGGAGCGAUUUGUCUGGUUAAUUCCGAUAACGAACGAGACUCUAGCCUACUAAAUAGACCAGAGGCUUCUUAAAACACGUCUCUGGCUGCUUCUUAGAGGGACAGGCGGCGAUUCAGCCGCACGAAACAGAGCAAUAACAGGUCUGUGAUGCCCUUAGAUGUCCGGGGCCGCACGCGCGCUACACUGAAGUGAUCAGCGUGCUUUUUGUACCCUGCCCUGCCAAGAGUGGGUAACCCAAUGAACCUUCUUCGUGAUUGGGAUAGGGGAUUGUAAUUAUUCCCCUUGAACGAGGAAUUCCCAGUAAGCGCGAGUCAUAAGCUCGCGUUGAUUACGUCCCUGCCCUUUGUACACACCGCCCGUCGCUACUACCGAUUGAA
rnacentral:rRNA from 1 species